CAGGGAUUGAAUUAACAUCUACAUUAUUGUCAAUGGGAGAGAAACACUUUGGUAGCCCUUUCCAUUUUACCAUUUUGUUUUAUAUCUAUGGGUAUAUUAAAUACAUUGUGUACUUUAUUUUCUUUCAAUAAUCCUACUUGUUACCUCGGUGUCAGUUCUUACAGUUACAGGCUUUAUAUGUUAUGUGUAUUGUGGCUUGUAUGUAUAAAUUUUAGGUUAUUAUUCCCUGGAGUGCUCCAUUUGUGGACAGAAUGUAGACAUAUUUAUACUAUACAUCAUACAACCUUCAUUGCAGAAGUUUACGGUUCCAUUUCUUAACAUUCUGUUUGUAUCACACUAUUGUUCACUGGGUUUUAUAUGAACUACUGUAGAUACUUACCUUCCCUUGAGAAUGAUUAAUGGCGUGUGUAAUUUAUACAAGCUUUAUUUAAUGGGGAUGCUUCUUAAAUUGUUUUUCCAAUACCGACAAUUUGAACUGCACAUGUGCAGCUACUAGUAGAUUUUUCUACCCUC